GAUGUUUUGCUUGCUGAUAAGGAACAGAAGGGCAAGAAACGUAAGGUCUUAACAGGAAAAAAUGCAAGCCCUGGAGAAGCAUCAGCUACACCAGCCAAAAAACAAAGGCGAACAUCCCAAGCUGGAGAAAAACGGAAGCGGUCAUCAAAAGGUGAUGAAGAUGAGGAUGAAGAUGAUAAGGUCGAAUCACCAGAUGCUAAGGAUGUUAAAAAUGACUCUCAAGAUGAUGAUGGUGAAGAACAUGAGACAGUGCCAAAAGAAGAGAGCUAUCAUGAAGACAGCAAAUCAGAGGAAGAAGAGGAUGAACCCAAGGUGCAGACACCAACUCGGAAGGCAUCCAAAAAAAAUGUGAAGGAAAGUUCAGGGGC
rnacentral:misc_RNA from 1 species